rnacentral:rRNA from 1 species
AGCGGCGGACGGGUGAGUAACGCGUGGGUAACCUGCCUCAUACAGGGGGAUAACAGUUGGAAACGGCUGCUAAUGCCGCAUAAGCGCACAGUACCGCAUGGUACGGCGUGAAAAACUCCGGUGGUAUGAGAUGGACCCGCGUCUGAUUAGGUAGUUGGUGGGGUAACGGCCUACCAAGCCGACGAUCAGUAGCCGACCUGAGAGGGUGACCGGCCACAUUGGGACUGAGACACGGCCCAA